rnacentral:piRNA from 1 species
UAGCAUCACAAGUAUUAGAGGCAAU